rnacentral:lncRNA from 1 species
UUUUAUUUGAUAUAAUUUAAUCAUAUUUUUAGCCAAUAAAUUUACAAAUUCGUCUCCACCAAAAGAAUAUAAAAACUAAAUUGUAUUAAGAAUAAAAGUAUUUACUGGUAUGUUUUUUAAACUUCUAUAGCACAUCUCUCUCCCUCUCCAUAACUCUGUUUCUCUGGUGACUUCCCCCAACUCCAGAAUCAAAUCAAAAGCAACUUUUAUAUGCUGUAUUGCUGCCGAUUCGGAUGUUGCUGUUGAUGUGGAUGUUGAUGUGAAUGUGAAUGUGAAUGUGGAUGUUGCCAGGCUCUUUACAAUUCGGGGCCAGGCACUUCAUUUGCUCCGCUCUUCGACUUCGACUUCCACUUGGACUUGGACUUCUUCUUCAAGUUUCGUCCACUCCUCCUACUCCUCCAACUGCUUUGGGUUGUCUUCUCGUUCUGCUGCAUUUAUGGCUGCAUUUACUUUUUAAUUUCAUUUGCUGUUGUUGCGGCUGCUGCCAUUGCCUUUGCCGUUGCCGUUGCACUCCUUUUUCGAUUUCAAGUGGAGUCAAUUUCUUAUGUCAUGACAAGAUACAUACUUCAAUAUACACACAAAAUGUAUCUCCGGGAGUAUGGGGCAGAACUUAAAGCUCAAGUCAAAAUAAAAGUGUAGAAAAAUAAACAGUAACGG